rnacentral:rRNA from 1 species
GAUGAACGCUGGCGGCGUGCCUAAUACAUGCCAGUCGAGCGAACAGAUGAGGAGCUUGCUCCACUGACGUUAGCGGCGGACGGGUGAGUAACACGUGGAUAACCUACCUAUAAGACUGGGAUAACUUCGGGAAACCGGAGCUAAUACCGGAUAAUAUAUUGAACCGCAUGGUUCAAUAGUGAAAGACGGUUUUGCUGUCACUUAUAGAUGGAUCCGCGCCGCAUUAGCUAGUUGGUAAGGUAACGGCUUACCAAGGCAACGAUGCGUAGCCGACCUGAGAGGGUGAUCGGCCACACUGGAACUGAGACACGGUCCAGACUCCUACGGGAGGCAGCAGUAGGGAAUCUUCCGCAAUGGGCGAAAGCUUGACGGAGCAACGCCGCGUGAGUGAUGAAGGUCUUCGGAUCGUAAAACUCUGUUAUUAGGGAAGAACAAAUGUGUAAGUAACUAUGCACGUCUUGACGGUACCUAAUCAGAAAGCCACGGCUAACUACGUG